UACGUAGGGUGCGAGCGUUGUCCGGAAUUAUUGGGCGUAAAGAGCUUGUAGGCGGUCUGUCGCGUCUGCUGUGAAAAUCCGGGGCUCAACCCCGGACUUGCAGUGGGGUACGGGCAGACUAGAGUGUGGUAGGGGGAGACUGGAAUUCCUGGUGUAGCGGUGAAAUGCGCAGAUAUCAGGAGGAACACCGAUGGCGAAGGCAGUUCUCUGG
rnacentral:rRNA from 1 species